rnacentral:rRNA from 1 species
UUCGCAAUGCCCGAAAGGGUGACGAAGCGACGCCGCGUGCGGGAAGAAGGCCUUCGGGUUGUAAACCGCUGUCGGGAGUUAAGAAAUGCAAGGGUGUUAACAGCAUCCUUGCUUGACUAAGGCUCCGGAGGAAGCCACGGCUAACUCUGUGCCAACAGCCGCGGUAAUACAGAGGCAGCAAGCGUUGUUCGGAAUUAUUGGGCGUAAAGAGCACGUAGGCGGCUGUGUAAGUCGGUUGUGAAAGCCUUCCGCUCAACGGGAGAACGGCAUCCGAUACUGCAUGGCUUGAGUGCGGGAGGGGAGAGUGGAACUUCUGGUGGAGCGGUGAAAUGCGUAGAUAUCAGAAGGAACACCGGCGGCGAAGGCGACUCUCUGGUCCGUAACUGACGCUGAGUGUGCGAAAGCUAGGGGAGCAAACGGGAUUAGAUACCCCGGUAGUCCUAGCCGUAAACGAUGGGCACUAAGUAGAGGGGUUUU